AUGAGAGCGGAAGGGGCGGUUCUUGGACUGAAUGGGAGGCGGGGCCCUUGGGCGGGGCUUCCGCUGCAGAAGUGGGCUAACGCUAGGGGUGGAGACUGGAGUGCUUCCCUGGCCCUUUCCCCCUCGAUAGUUUCGGCACCUUUUGGCCCCGCCUACCCCGGGGCCCUAGAAACGAAGGAGUUUUGUUCUCUGAUAAAUGCCCUGUGGUGGCAUCAUGCCUCAUCAGUCCAUCAACGAGCAUUUAUUAACUUAGUGAUUAAUGCUCUGCCCUGCGCUGAAGAUACUAAAGCAAAAACUCAAUUCCUGCCCUCCAGGAGAUCACAGUCUAAUUAGGCAGACAACUUGCCAAAGACUAGUGUAAAAUAAUCUGAGAAGGAAUACCAGGAUACCUGGUAUUGACUCCAAGACGGAAGGGUGACCAGGGGUGCCCCUUGAUCUGCAGGACUGAGGUCUUACCCAAGAACCUGGGUAGGUGCUUUAGUCUCUUCCAUUGGGAAAUGUAUUCUGGACCCUUUUUACAGAAUAUUGAGAUGAUGCAGCUACUACUGAUUGGUCACCAGGGACAAAGCUUGCGGGAAGACUCAGAAUGAGGAGGAGAUGACCUUUAAAGAGAAACUGAGUGGAUAGAAACAGAUUGAUCUUUCUUUUGCAACUCUUCCAGCAUUUCUCACAUGAGCUUCCAGGAAAGGCAACUCCUCCCACCCCAGCAGCAAUGGCAACUAUAGGCUCAGAUCAAUUGGAAUAUGUUCUUACUUAGGUGAGCCUAAAUCUUUGGUCACCUGCUUUCGUUUUCUGUUGUUUUCCCUGGGCAGAGGCCAGUGACAAGCAAUCCUAAGACAUGGCAGUUUCCAGUUUGGGCAGUAACCUUAGGAGUUCAAACGAUCAAGCAAAGCAAGAGUUUCAUAGAAAGUAAUUCUUGAAAAAGCAAAGUUCCCAGAGAAGAACAAGGAUCCCUGGAUAAUACUAUAGCUGAAAGUCUUAAAAGAGCCAAAGCCAUGUCUGGUUGAUCAAGGAAUUUUCACCUUCUAAAGUUCAGAAUACAAAUCUGAGAUUUAAGUGAAAUAUCUAUUUCAUCAGUCCCAAAAAACAUUAUAAUGUGUUGUGGGGGCUUUUAAAAAUGUUUCUAUAUUUGCUAAUAUAUGCAUAUCAGUUUUUGUGUUUUAAGUAUUUUCAGCAAUAGAGGAAAUAAUUCACUAUCCUAUAUGUGAUAUUGAAUACGUUUUUCAAGAAAGGAUGCCAUUAUCCACCUUUGAGUAAUCCAUUAAAGAUGAGCCUUACCAAAACUAAA